ensembl:lncRNA
CGCACCGCCCCUCGCCCCUAGCCACCGCGCGUCUCCGCCGACACGCACUUCCUGCGAGGCCUCCGAGCGCACCUUAUCCCGGCCGAAUCGAGCUGUGCCCUGCCUUGCCUUUCCAAGCUGUUCGCCAUGGUGGAUGAGCUGGUCCUGCUGCUGCACGCGCUUCUGAUGCGGCACCGCGCCCUUAGCAUCGAGAACAGCCAGCUCAUGGAACAGCUUCGGCUGCUGGUGUGCGAGAGGGCCACCCUGCUGCGCCAGGCAUAGUGCUCUCCAGUCACCUGCUGCUGAGGCUGGGGCGUCUCUGAAGUGCGCUCUGCUGCCCACUCUGGCCAGCCCCAGGACCCUCACCGCUCAUUAGAACUGUGUUCUGAGCCCCAGCUCUAGGGCAAGCUCCUCUUACAAACCGGUCAGCCUAUACUCUGCCCUGCCGACUGUCAGGCCUGCACCUCUGCCCAGCGACCUGCGCUGCCACCCAAGCACGCUCCAUCAGAUUCCAGCGACAGACCCGGCCUUUGGAGAUCAGGAGCAACCUAGAAUAUGCCUUUGUGGGCUACACCUCCUGGGACACUGAUUUGGACUGCUCACCAACAACUCCACCCCCCUCCCCAGGGGCUAAUCUUUCAACUUGAUUAAUUGUUCUGUACUAACUCUGAGUCUUCCUCGUGCCCCACGAGAUUGCUGCAGGGGCCCAUUGUGCCUGGCAACCCAAUUGUUGACAUUUCUCCUAUGCACCAGUUUUGCACACCUGUCAUCUUUGUUUCAAAAUUGCAGCAGUCCCAUCGAGGUGUGCAUUUGGACAAAAAUACUAAAAACCGAACAAUACAAACAAAAGCAGGUACUCAGCCCAGCUCCUCAAUGCUACCUGGAAAAAGCAUUUGCAUUCUUUUCAAUAAAUUUCAAGCACUACCGAAAAAAAUACCAAAAAGUGUCUUUUCAUGGUUAAGGGCUAUCAUUGGCCUUUGCCACUUUCAGCCUGACUCUCAUUAUUCCCACUGAUAUCAGGGAAUCUAAUUCAACGUUCAAUCUCUGUACUCCCCACUGUCACGACUAAGCUCCAGAGGACAGUUACCACAGGGCUUUACGGGGAAACACGUACUACCCCCACUGACGCCUUUCUUAUAGCCCUGGUGAAGGGAGUGUUCUUUGGUGCUUCUGAGGUGGCAUGGGUAAGGGGUGGCUGAGGCAGACAGGUGGCACAGCAUCCCAAACUGGGACACUUUAGAGAGAACUUCAAGGGGGCACUACUAAUAAUUAGACUGGAACAACAAGUACAAGUCAGGACACACAAUAUUUCUAUCUUCAUGAGCUUUGGGGUUCUUCCUCAACAUGGUCAGAGAUGUUCUGCCUCUUAACUCUUAAUGCCUGUUGGGUGCUAUUGAUUUCGGGCUUCAAUACAUAGUGUAGCACAUUGUUUUAAAACCCCUUUUAGAUGCUUGAGCUAACAUUAAAUCCCAGAUCCUGGAUAAAUGUGUGCAUACUAAAUGGAGCCCGAUUUGAACGUUUCAUCUUCCUCAGGCAGAUCCCCUUAGAAUUCCUACCCAUCCAUGUGCCCCAGAUUCCUGCCUGAAGAAACUGACAAGAUUCCUAGAUCUUGUACUGCUGCUAUCUGAGCUAUGCUGAAAUCUCUUUGUGGGCCCGGAGGGCUCAGAGGCACUGAGGUAGUGGGGUGAGUGUUGAGAAGAAACUGCAUACC